rnacentral:tRNA from 1 species
UGUCCAGGAAUGGAAUUCAAACCCACAGUGUUCCGCUUACCGGGCAGAUGCCAUGUCCACUAGGCUACCCUGUAC